UUUCCUCAGCCUUACUCCUGGGGCUCUGCAAACAGUCAAUCACCCUAGCAUUGCCCGAGGAUAUGCUGAAACCUGUUCCAUUCCAUCCCAGCUUGGAUCUUAUACUUUGAUACUUACAGU